CAACCUCCUCCAGGUUACCCAACUGAGGAUCCUCCAACAGAGAAGAAAAAGAAGAAGAUGAAGUUUUGGUCAUCAUCAAAGCCAAAAGGAGAGAGGGGAUUCCUUGAGGGAUGCCUCUUUGGAUUGUGUUGCUGCUGGCUCUGUGAAGUAUGCUGUUGAUUAAAUAGAAGAGUUAUGAUUAUCUAUCAACAGGAUUCAAGCCAUAUAUAGAGCUGUUAAUUUCCGUUGUCUUGCAGCUGGCUUUAGUUUAUUUUAUCCGCAGCUAUGUAAUUAAUUAUAUGUUAUGAUACAGUACUGCCUGAGGUUAAUUUUAUCAGCUAAUUACCAUGCUCCCAAUAAAAUUAUAUUUUUCCUUGUUUACAACA